GAUGAACGCUGGCGGCGUGCCUAAUACAUGCAAGUCGAGCGGACGGACGAGAAGCUUGCUUCUCUGUUGUUAGCGGCGGACGUGUGAGUAACACGUGGAUAACCUCCCUAUAAUACUGGUAUAACUUCGGGAAACCGGAUCUAAUACCGUAUGAUAUUUUGCACCGCAUGGUUCAAAAGUGAAAUACGGUCUUUCUGUCACUUAUAGCUGGAUCCCCGCUGCAUUAGCUAGUUGUUAAGUUAACAGCUUACCAAGGCUACGAUGCAUGACCGACGUGAGAGGGUGGUAGGCGACACUGGAACUGGGACAGGGUCCAGAGUCCUGAGAGAGGGAGCAGUAGGGAAUCUGCCGCAAUGGGCGAAAGCCUGACGGAGCAAGGCCGAGUGAGUGAUGACGGCGUUCGGAUCGUAAAACUCUGUUAUUAGGGAAGAACAGAUGUGGAAGGAACUGAGCACAGCGUGACGGUACCUAAUCAGAAAGCAACGGCUAACUACGUG
rnacentral:rRNA from 1 species